AUUGAACGCUGGCGGCAUGCCUUACACAUGCAAGUCGAACGGUAACGGGCCUUCGGGUGCCGACGAGUGGCGAACGGGUGAGUAAUGCAUCGGAACGUACCUUUCAGUGGGGGAUAACGUAGCGAAAGUUACGCUAAUACCGCAUAUUCUGUGAGCAGGAAAGCAGGGGAUCGCAAGACCUUGCGCUGAUUGAGCGGCUGAUGUCAGAUUAGCUAGUUGGUGAGGUAAAGGCUCACCAAGGCGACGAUCUGUAGCGGGUCUGAGAGGAUGAUCCGCCACACUGGAACUGAGGCACGGUCCAGACUCCUACGGGAGGCAGCAGUGGGGAAUUUUGGACAAUGGGGGCAACCCUGAUCCAGCCAUGCCGCGUGAGUGAAGAAGGCCUUCGGGUUGUAAAGCUCUUUCGGUCGGGAAGAAAUCGCAUGGGUUAAUACCCUGUGCGGAUGACGGUACCGGCAUAAGAAGCACCGGCUAACUACGUGCCAGCAGCCGCCGUAACAC
rnacentral:rRNA from 1 species